GAUGAACGCUGGCGGCGUGCCUAACACAUGCAAGUCGAGCGGCAGCGAGGGGUGCUUGCACCCUGUCGGCGAGCGGCGGACGGCUGAGUAACGCGUGGGAACGUGCCCCAAAGUGAGGAAUAACUGCCCGAAAGGGUAGCUAAUACCGCAUAUUAUCUUCGGAUCAAAGGAUUUAUCCGCUUUGGGAGCGGCUCGCGUCGGAUUAGGUAGUUGGUGAGGUAAUGGCUCACCAAGCCGACGAUCCGUAGCUGGUCUGAGAGGAUGACCAGCCAGACUGGAACUGAGACACGGUCCAGACUCCUACGGGAGGCAGCAGUGAGGAAUCUUCCACAAUGGGCGAAAGCCUGAUGGAGCAACGCCGCGUGCAGGACGAAGGCCUUCGGGUUGUAAACUGCUUUUAUAAGUGAGGAUUAUGACGGUAACUUAUGAAUAAGGAUCGGCUAACUACGUG
rnacentral:rRNA from 1 species